AAAUAGUGUAGUUUUAUAUUGUUUAUGUCCAAUGUUUGACCAUUUAUUUUAUUAGAAAUUUUUUAUGAUAAAUAUUUUUUAUUACAUGAUAAAACAUGAAUGGUACUUUAUGUGUGACUAUUUUUUAAUAAUAAAAGUAUAUAAUUUUUUUAAAUAAGACGGACGGUCAGGUUAGACAUGAUAUAUACGGUUGCACUUGUA
rnacentral:pre_miRNA from 1 species